rnacentral:rRNA from 1 species
UACGAAGGGGGCUAGCGUUGUUCGGAAUUACUGGGCGUAAAGCGCACGUAGGCGGACUAUUAAGUCAGGGGUGAAAUCCCGGGGCUCAACUCCAGAACUGCCUUUGAUACUGGCGACCUUGAGUCCGGGAGAGGUGAGUGGAACUGCGAGUGUAGAGGUGAAAUUCGUAGAUAUUCGCAAGAACACCAGUGGCGAAGGCGGCUCACUGGCCCGGUACUGACGCUGAGGUGCGAAAGCGUGGGGAGCGAACAGG